rnacentral:rRNA from 1 species
UACGAAGGGGGCUAGCGUUGUUCGGAAUUACUGGGCGUAAAGCGUGCGCAGGCGGCUUCUCAAGUCAGGGGGUGAAAGCCCAGAGCUCAACCCUGGAAUUGCCUUUGAGACUGAGUGGCUUGAGUACGGGAGAGGUGAGUGGAAUUCCCAGUGUAGAGGUGAAAUUCGUAGAUAUUGGGAAGAACACCGGUGGCGAAGGCGGCUCACUGGCCCGUAACUGACGCUCAUGCACGACAGCGUGGGGAUCAAACAGG